CGCGGCGUGGCGAGGCGGCGCGGCGGGUGCUCGGGCUGCUCGGCGACGUCGGGGUGCCUGACCCGGCGCGGCGG
rnacentral:tRNA from 1 species